AUCCCGGAUAAAAUUCCAUGUUUUAUCUGUUUCAUGGAAGGCAAAAAUUGACCAGGAAAGUUUUGCUGAUAAGCACCUUUUUUUCUCUAUAUUUAAUAGAGGUGUUUAAUAGUAGUUUUCCAUACAUGU